AUUGAACGCUGGCGGCAGGCCUAACACAUGCAAGUCGAGCGAGGGGCGGACGGGUGAGUAAUGUAUGGGGCUCUGCCCGAGAGAGGGGUAUAACUACUGGAAACGGUGGCUAAUACCGCAAACUCGCGUAUGCACCCAUAUGGGAUUAGCUAGUAGGUGGGGUAAAGUCUCACCAAGGCGACGAUCUCUAGCUGGUCUGAGAGGAUGAUCAGCCACACUGGGACUGAGACACGGCCCAGACUCCUACGUGAGGCAGCAGUGGGGAAUAUUGCACAAUGGGCGCAAGCCUGAUGCAGCCAUGCCGCGUGUAUGAAGAAGGCCUUAGGGUUGUAAAGUACUUUCAGCGGGGAGGCGUUACCCGCAGAAGAAGCACCGGCUAACUCCGUGCCAGCAGCCGCGGUAAUAC
rnacentral:rRNA from 1 species